GAGCGUUGAUGAAAUUUGCUUUAAGCUAAGGUUGGGUCCAUAGCAAUUCUCCGAUUAAUCGGAUGAUAUAGCCUCAUAUCUGAGCUC